GGUGCCGUGGCAGGCAGGGAGCCGCCGGGACCGCCGCGGGAGGGAUGCCACGCUGCUGGUCCCGGCUUUUCCCUUUGGGAGCCACGCUGAGGUGUCUCCCAGCGUCCUGCCCCGGGCAGGGGGUGCCCCUUGCCCUGCCAGCUCUCCGCAGGGUCUGCCUUAAAUCCCUCCCUCCUCCCUCCCUCCCUGGCGAGGAACUUCUCCCGCUGAACUGGAGGAUGCUGCAAGCUCCUGCGGACGAGCCGGAGGAGUCCUGUGGCAAAGUCAAGGCGAGCAGGGAAGCAGCGUGCUCGUGCCGGGUGUCACCGCAGCUCGCUGCCGCCAGCCCGGCGUGCUGCGGCCGGUGUCACCUCCAGGACCCCAAGCUGGGGUUGUUGGGUGCCUGCGGACGCGUGGGUGCCACUAUGGCCGGCCCCGGCAGCCCCCCGGCUCCUUCGCCUCCCCCUGCAAAGCCGUCUGGUGCCCGCAAACCACCCUGCCCGGGCACGGAGCUGCUCUCGGGGCAGCUGGAGAACACCGGGGGCUGCCCCGGCCGGGGACUCACGGCCGGUCUGCGGGCAUGGAGAAUCCGUGGAAGAGGGGCUGCCCCAGGCCACAGCUCCCUGGUGGGUUUCGGCUCGGGGUCUACAGCUGCAAAAUGCAGCGCUGGGGCUGGGGAGGGCUCAGGGAUGCUUUCGGUGGUGGGGGGCACACCCAGGGCUGCAGAGGGGGUGGUGGUGAUGACAGGGCACAGAGAGGGCAGUGGGGAAGAGCCGGUCUGUGGAACAGGGCAGGGGCAAGGAGGGGUGGUGGGAACAGGCAGGGGGGGCUCAGGCUGGAGCAGGGGGACAGGAGGUAGCCCGGAUGCAGUGAGCAUCCCGUGGAGCUGGGUGCAGCCCUCCAAGGUCACUGGGAGAGCCCAGCCGAGGGCUGCGGGAACAGUGCCAUGGGCUGGGGCUGCGUGGGCCACUUGGGCUGGGGUGUCUCUAACAGCCAGCACUGGGAGGCUGCCCAAGGUCAGCCGAGGUGACUGGAGAUGAACUCGGCUGCGAUGUGAGAGCCCUGGCUUAGCAGUUUCAGGGUGAGUUCAACCCUGAGUUUUUGGUCCUGGCAGUCCCUGGGAGCCCAGCACUGCUGCAGCAAAUGCCCAGGGCAGCAUGGCACUGCCCUGCAGGGCCGGCAGAGCCCCAGGGGUGCAGUGGGUGCAUCUCUGCAGCCUGGGGCUCAGGACAGCCACUCUCUCUGAUUUGGGCUGGGACAGGGGAGCUGCUCCUGCCAGACACGCUGUGCCCCACUGCUCCUGCUGGGCUGGGACCUUGUCUUGGCUCCUGGGAGCCGUGUCUGGGAUCCUCAGGGCGGGAUCCCUGGGCACCAGCCAUGGGGGAGCUCUUGGGCUGCUGCCAGAGCAUCCUCUGUGUCAUGCUGUGCCCCACAGCACUGGUUGGUGUCUCGGGGGUGGCACUGAGCAGUGACUCUGCUUCCUGUGGCUGCUGUGAGCUGGGCUGGUGACGUGAGGCUGUACUUGGCACCCAGGGGCUCCUUGCAGGGAGCUGCGGUGUGUGUGGCCACGGCUCCCAGUGCUGAGUCACGGCCACGCCGUGUCCAGCCAGCCCCUCCUGCCCACAGCCAGACCCCCACGCACCCCUCACUCCCCUGUCCUGAGAGGGGGCAGCCCUGGGAACCCAGGAACACUCCCUGUACCUGCCAUUGUCCCAUUCCAACUGCAGGUUUGGGGCUGGGAAGGUCACUGAAGUCAGGGUGUGUCCCCUCUGUCACCCUGCUGUCACCAAACUGUGCUGGGCAGGGGAAGUCCCCACAGCCCUCUUACACUGUCAAGCUCUCAGCUGAAUCCCUCCUGCCACGGGCAAAGGCACCUCCAGCCUUCCCAGUGCAGAGCUGCUGGGUGGGGAGGGGGUGAGAGGGGCCCAGAGUCCUGUGUCCUCCUCCUGGCCCCACAAACGAGACGGGCAGGGGUGUGGGGGUGUAGGAGGUGGGUGCCCCCCUACACUGGCUUCAUGUGCACCAGCCUGAACCACUGCUCUGGCACAUGGACAGAUAUGGGGAUGUGGAGUCUGGGGGUGGUGGGAAAUGCAGGGGGCAGGGGAAUGAUUUGGUGCAUCCUGACCCAGCACAACAGCAGCAGCAGCAGCAGCAGGGGGAACCCCUGCCAAGCGAAGAGCCAGAGCCAAGGAGGAUUCCCCUUUGGAAGUGGUUCCAAGCACAAGCCCCCACCCUUGCCACCCAUCCGUGCUGGAGUGUGGGCUCACAGGACACGGCCCUUGGCUGUGCCCCCUUCUCCUCGCAGGUGCAGCUCCACAGGUGCCCCCUCAGACCAAACCACUGAGCCUGGAGUAUCCCAUCAGCCUCAAAGAGCAGCCAAACCCCCCCAAAACCGCAGCCUCAACACUCUCCAGACACCCAGGGGCUCCGGGUCCGAGGCACACAUGGGUUGGCCAUGGCUCCAAACAUGAAGAGCUGCAAGGUGACUGUGGGCACAGGGGCCAUCUGGGCAGUGCCUCUGCCUGGGCUGCACUGGAGAGAGGCCCUGAGGGAGGGCAGGAGGGGCUCCCCACAGCCCCUGCCCAGUCUCGGGUUUCCCCAAGGCCACUGGCUCCUUGCAGGAUCUCACUGGGGCUGGAGGACACGGCCGGCAGGGUGACAGCCCCGUGCCCUGCGCCCCCAGCCCCGCGGCACCCGCCUCUCCCUCCCAUCCCUACAUACUUCUUCAUAUGCCCAUAUGGAGCCGGCCGGUGCUAUGGAAUGUUAAGAAGUAUGUAUUUUUGGGCUGGGACCCCCACAGCAGGAGCCCCCAUCACCAGCAGCGGCCAGACGGCACCUCCGGAGAGACGAUGCGUCCCCUGGGGCUGGUAAAAAGGAACCAGAUCAACUUGCAACUGGAUUUGGUCCCCUUCAACCAGCUGCAGCGGCGCAUGAGCUACGGCACCCGCUGGCCCGGACCGCUGCCGCCGUGCUGCCCCGAGCUGGGAAGGGCUGAGGAGCAGCUGAGGGGGGACAGACGGGGGGUGAGGAGAGGGGCUUUGGCUGGUUUUGAGACUGCCCAGUGGGCAGGAGACAGGCAGAGCGCUUCAGCUCUGCUCUCCACAGUUUCAUGGAUCCCAAACCUGCUGGGGAAAUGCCCCGUGAAGCCACAGGAGCCCUGGCCCAGGCCUGAGCAGCCCCAGCCCGGCGCGGCCUUCCCCCUCAGCUGCCGAGGCCUUCGGGCCGAAAGGGCUCCCUGAGGGGACAGCCCCGGGUGGGACCGCGGGGACGGGAGAGCCCAGCACCGCCCUAGCAGAGGCAGCCACAUCAAGAGUUAACCAGAAAGCGAAACUGAGCGAGCGGCUUCCGAAAAUUCUGCAAUAUUUAAUGAUCCACCCCUCCCUGACGGGAUAUAUCCGGCGUCGCCCUUCCUUCCUCCGAGCACAGCCGACACAACAGAGGCUGGUGGCGAGGGGUGCCGCGGUCCCACGGGGCCGGGAUUAGAGCAGACUCAUCGCAGCUCUCGCUCCCGCACAGCCCACCAUGCUUCCAGUUCCAGUCAUCCUUGGAAUUAUAAAGGCCGUUGGAUUAAUUGCAGUCAUCACAGGAAUUACAGUUAUAGCACUAUGCAAAGACAAGAUAAGAAUCAAAAUACAGACUAGAUGGUUUUCCUUCUCUUUAGAAGCUGGGGGGGAAAAAAUGGCAUAACUCUUUCCUCCGAGCAGCACCCAAUAGCAUGCAGUCCACAGAAACAACUUCCUGUGUUCCACUCAAGGGAGGAAAAGCAAGAUUCCUUUCUUCCAAGCAUGCUGAUUCGUCCUCAGACAGCAGGUGCUGGAAGGAGAAAUCCUUCCCACAACUUCCACUGUAACUGGAUUAGAUUAAUUUUACUCAUAAAAUCAUGUUAAACAAUAAAUGAACUGUGCCAGUGUA